rnacentral:tRNA from 1 species
AGGGGAAGGUCACACCCAACAAGAACUGCUAAUUCUCGUCCCUGAGCCUAAAAUCUCAGUCCCCUU